rnacentral:rRNA from 1 species
GGAGUCUGGUCCGUAUCUCAGUCCCAAUGUGCCCGAUCGCCCUCUCAGGCCGGAUACCCGUCGUAGCCUUGGUGGGCCCUUACCCCGCCAACCAGCUGAUGGGCCGCAGGCCGCUCCUCCGGCGGAGCAAUAGCUCCUUUCCUCGCACGGCUCCAGCCCGUGCGACCUUAUCCGGUAUUACCCUGUGUUUCCACAGGCUAUCCCCGUCCAGAGGGUGCGUCACCUACGUGUUACUCACCAGUCCGCCGCUCUAGGAUGCCCGGAGGCACCUUGCCGCUCGACUUGCAUGCUUAAGACGCGCCGCCAGCGUUCGUU